rnacentral:pre_miRNA from 1 species
CCAUGAAACAUUCAACGCUGUCGGUGAGUUUGGGAUUUAAAAAAAAACCACUGACCGUUGACUGUACCCUGG